AGGAGUUUGAGUUAUGGCUCAGGAUGAACGCUAAGCGGCAGGCUUAACACAUGCAAGUCGAGGGGCAGCGAGGAGUAGCAAUACUCUGUCGGCGACCGGCGGACGGGUGCGUAACGCGUAUGCAACCUACCCAUUACAGGGGGAUAACACUGAGAAAUUGGUACUAAUACCCCAUAACAUUCGGAGAGGCAUCUUUCUGGGUUAAAAAUUACGAUGGUAAUGGAUGGGCAUGCGUUGUAUUAGCUAGUUGGUGAGGUAACGGCUCACCAAGGCGACGAUACAUAGGGGGACUGAGAGGUUAACCCCCCACAUUGGUACUGAGACACGGACCAAACUCCUACGGGAGGCAGCAGUGAGGAAUAUUGGUCAAUGGACGGAAGUCUGAACCAGCCAUGCCGCGUGCAGGGAAAGACGGCUCUAUGAGUUGUAAACUGCUUUUGUACGAGGGUAAACGCAGAUACGUGUAUCUGUCUGAAAGUAUCGUACGAAUAAGGAUCGGCUAACUCCGUGCCAGCAGCUGC
rnacentral:rRNA from 1 species